CUGUGCUCGAGGAUGUCUUUUUCAGAAGUUUCCGCUGCCUUCGCCACAAAGCGACCAAUUGCGUCGUCACGGUCGUCGACGCUGUCGUGAAUCUUGAGCCUCCUUGUCUUCGUCUGGAGGACAAUGACGUCCUCAUAGGUCUGGCCCUGCGCCUCAUGGAUGGUUAAGACGCGCGAUCCCUCACCGGACCCGUAUCCCUGGUCAGUCAGCAAU
rnacentral:misc_RNA from 1 species